rnacentral:rRNA from 1 species
UACGUAGGGUGCAAGCGUUGUCCGGAAUUACUGGGCGUAAAGCGUGCGCAGGCGGUUUUGUAAGUCAGAUGUGAAAUCCCCGGGCUUAACCUGGGAACUGCGUUUGAAACUACAAGGCUAGAGUGUGGCAGAGGGGGGGUGGAAUUCCACGUGUAGCAGUGAAAUGCGUAGAGAUGUGGAGGAACACCGAUGGCGAAGGCAGCCCCCCUGGGUCAAGAUUGACGCUCAUGCACGAAAGCGUGGGGAGCAAACAGG